GCUGUAAGAAAAUCACAAAUCAGUGAGGGAUCAUAACGAUACCAUCAUCUUUCAACCUACCAAUAUACUUUUCUUGGAAGCCACAGUGAAAAAAUGUGGAAACACAACACUCAAAACUCCGUCCUCGAGCGCUGGCUUGUCAAAAGUAACUAGCCAAUUCGAUUCCCUUUAAGUUUUUCAUUCUCGAGAUCUUGACGCAUGGAAAAGACUUUU
rnacentral:misc_RNA from 1 species